CUAGCUAGCUAGCUGGGUGAAAUAGUGUACAUGAUUGAAUGUGCAUUUAUUUAGCUAGCAAAUCAAAGAAUUAAAGUUGGUUGAGCAACGAGCCACAUUUUGUGUUGAGGUGUUCUCACAAGUCCCCACCAUCUUACAACUUUCAACUUCAUGCUGCUCGUUGCUCUCACUUUUCAGUUUUUUAUUUUUAGACUAUUUUUUUUUUUAUUUUGGUUUCUUGCGUUUAAUAUUUUAGACUAGUUUCUUAUGUCCUUUUUAAAUUACUAUAUGUCUUGUAUGCUCUAGGUUCUUUCUGGCAUUUCAGAUGUACUAG
rnacentral:lncRNA from 1 species